rnacentral:lncRNA from 1 species
GAAAGAUUUAAAUAAAAAGCCAGGGUCUUCCUUUUAUUUGAUAAAGAAUUGUAAAUGAAAGAAUUUAUUUGAAAUCAUAUUAUAUACAUGUGACCUUCUUUUGUUUGUCUUUUUAGGUGGCAUCCUUAGCUGGGCCUGGAGGACAAGUGGAAAUAGAACAGAACUUUCUUAAUAAUAAACUAAAGACAAUCACUGCUUAUUUUGGUGACUUAAUCAGAAGACCAGAGUCUAAAACCUAAACUGUGAAGCAGGACAAGGAUAAAGAUCAUGUAAUAAUAAGAACAUUUUUCAUAUGAAACACACAAAAUGUCUUCCUGUAUUCGCUGAUAUUUUAUACCCACAGUCUUAAAUCACCAUGUGAUAUGGAAACUUUCUGAGUUUAACAAAUAUUAAUGAAGUUUUGAGACAUUUGGAUGAUAUUAACUAUGGACUGUCUAUUGUACAGAAAGUUAGUAACCAUCUGAUAUGAAAAGAGUAUAGACUUGCCCCUGUGCUGAAUUUCAUUGUGUGUCUGUGUAAAUAUGGGGUUUUUUUUUAAUAUAUUGGUUUAAUAUCUUUGUGUGUGUGUAUGUAUGUAUAUACAUGUGUAUAAAAAAUAAUUGCUGUAUUUUUUUAACAGAAAUGCAAAGAAAACAAUGAACAAGUUAUAUUCUAUAUCCUGUUUAGCUGCUACUGAAAUAAUGUUAUACAUUUAAAGUCUCCCACCCUCUUCUCGGUCCUUUAUUAUCUCUCUAAAGAUAAUCACAGCAAACAGUGUAUAUAGUUUCUUUGGGAGAAUAGAAAGGAAUUAGAGUGUACCCUAAUGUGCUCUUGUCUCCAUUGAUACACUGUUCAGUAACCUUCCUUGUUUUUACUUAAUGUACCUUUUUUAAAAAAGCAGAAACCUUAUCAGUUUAUCUUGAAAACCUUUCCUUGUCAGUACAUAAAGAUAGAUCUACCUUAUUCUUUUUUAAUGACUAUUUUGUAUUCCAUCUUACGAAUAUGCCAUAAUUAAUUAAACCAGUUCCCUAUUGAUGGACACUUGGACUCUUCAGGUUUUUGCACUUACCAACUGUUUUGCACUGUCCUUAAGUAAAUUGGUUAACUUCUAGAAGUUAGGUAUCCAGGGGUUUGUGCAUUUUAAUUUUGAUAGAUACAAAUUGUCUUGAUAAAAUUGAACCAACUUUCAGACUUUAGACUUUCUUCUAGAAUUUUUUUCUUUUCUUCAUCUUGAAUUUGCUUUUUUAACAUCAUUUUAGCUUAUAAAGUUAGUAUUUUUAAGAUUUCCAUUGCAAAAUCAAUGUGAAAUAUAUUUUGUAAUACAGAAAUAUAUGUUCUUUUUCUAUUAAAAUGGCAGUGAAAGGAGAAAGAAUGUAUUGCUUAAUUAUUCAUUUAGCAGGGUGUUCAGUCAUUUUUAUAAGUAGGUAAGAAAUGAUGUACAGCUUCUAACCAUUGAGGGUUAGAGCUGGGAUAAUGUCAGCAUGUGAAGCAUCAAGCAAAACAUGAUUUUGAAUAAGAUAGGGUUAGAUAAAAUGAAAUAACUUGGAGGAAUUUUCAAUAAGCACUGAAAAACUAGACAAAAAAACUUGCUGAGGGUAUAGCUUAGCGAUAGAGCUAAGUGUUUUUUAAUUAUGCCAACAUUAGUCAUCAACAGUUCUGUAUAUGACCCCUAGACCUGGAAGAGUGACAAGAUGGGUAAAAGUAGAUUUUCAAAAUUACCAGUUUUUUUGUCACAAUAUUUCAUUCAUACACUUCUUUCUGUUGUGCAUAGUCUUACUUGUAUUUAAUAUUAAUAUUAAAACUAAUUUGCAUUCCUGAAUACAUAUGACCAUGUAUGAGUAGAAAAAGAAGCCUAACCAAGACCUAAAGUAUUCUUGUCCCCUCAGUGAUAUAGCUAAUUUACACACAUUUGUUGAUCAUUAGUCCUCAAAAGAACUUUGAAAUGUUUUAGUCUAUUGUGUGACUCCUGCUCAAAUAAAAUCUUACCAAGAAGCCAAAUAUGUAAAAU